rnacentral:rRNA from 1 species
ACACUGGGACUGAGAUACGGCCCAGACUCCUACGGGAGGCAGCAGUCGAGAAGCUUCGGCAAUGGGGGAAACCCUGACCGAGCGACGUCGCGUGGGUGAUGAAGGUCCUUGGACCGUAAAACCCUGUCAGUUGGGAUGAAAUGCCAUAUGGCCAAUACCCAUGUGGUUUGACAGUACCAUCAGAGGAAGCUCCGGCCAACUCCGUGCCAGCAGCCGGUAACACGGGGGGAGCAAGCGUUGUUCGGAAUCAUUGGGCGUAAAGAGCUCGUAGGCGGCUCCGUAAGUCAGAGGUGAAAGCCCACGGCUCAACCGUGGAUGCGCCUUUGAAACUACGGACCUUGAGUUCGGGAGAGGAAAGCGGAAUUCCAGGAGUAGCGGUGAAAUGCGUAGAUAUCUGGAGGAACACAGUGGCGAAGGCGGCUUUCUGGCCCGAUACUGACGCUGAGGAGCGAAAGCUAGGGGAGCGAACGGGAUUAGAUACCCCGGUAGUCCUAGCCGUAAACGAUGGGCACUAGGUGUGGGAAGUUCGACCCUUUCCGUGCCGCAGUUAACGCAUUAAGUGCCCCGCCUGGGGAGUACGACCGCAAGGUUGAAACUCAAAGGAAUUGACGGGGGCCCGCACAAGCGGUGGAGCAUGUGGUUUAAUUCGAUGAUACGCGAAGAACCUUACCGGGGCUUGACAUGCAGUGGCUAGACAUGGAAACAUGUCCUCCCCUUACGGGGCUGUUGCACAGGUGCUGCAUGGCUGUCGUCAGCUCGUGUCGUGAGAUGUUGGGUUAAGUCCCGCAACGAGCGCAACCCUUGUUCUUAGUUGCCAUCAGGUUAUGCUGGGCACUCUAGGGAGACUGCCGGUGAUAAACCGGAGGAAGGUGGGGAUGACGUCAAGUCAUCAUGGCCCUUACGUCCCGGGCUACACACGUGCUACAAUGGCUGGUACAGAGGGCUGCAAUACCGCGAGGUGGAGCGAAUCCCAAAAAACCAGUCUCAGUUCGGAUUGGAGUCUGCAACUCGACUCCAUGAAGGCGGAAUCGCUAGUAAUCGCGAAUCAGCAGGUCGCGGUGAAUACGUUCCCGGGCCUUGUACACACCGCCCGUCAAGUCAACCGAGUUGAGUGCACCCGAAGUCGCUGAACCAACCCUUCGGGGGGUGAGUACAGUGGCGAACGGGUGAGUAACACGUGGGAAAC